UUAAGCGACUAAGCGUACACGGUGGAUGCCCUGGCAGUCAGAGGCGAUGAAGGACGUGCUAAUCUGCGAUAAGCGUCGGUAAGGUGAUAUGAACCGUUAUAACCGGCGAUUUCCGAAUGGGGAAACCCAGUGUGAUUCGUCACACUAUCAUUAACUGAAUCCAUAGGUUAAUGAGGCGAACCGGGGGAACUGAAACAUCUAAGUACCCCGAGGAAAAGAAAUCAACCGAGAUUCCCCCAGUAGCGGCGAGCGAACGGGGAGSAGCCCAGAGCCUGAAUCAGUGUGUGUGUUAGUGGAAGCGUCUGGAAAGGCGCGCGAUACAGGGUGACAGCCCCGUACACAAAAAUGCACAUGCUGUGAGCUCGAUGAGUAGGGCGGGACACGUGGUAUCCUGUCUGAAUAUGGGGGGACCAUCCUCCAAGGCUAAAUACUCCUGACUGACCGAUAGUGAACCAGUACCGUGAGGGAAAGGCGAAAAGAACCCCGGCGAGGGGAGUGAAAAAGAACCUGAAACCGUGUACGUACAAGCAGUGGGAGCACAGAGCAAUCUGUGUGACUGCGUACCUUUUGUAUAAUGGGUCAGCGACUUAUAUUCUGUAGCAAGGUUAACCGAAUAGGGGAGCCGAAGGGAAACCGAGUCUUAACUGGGCGUUAAGUUGCAGGGUAUAGACCCGAAACCCGGUGAUCUAGCCAUGGGCAGGUUGAAGGUUGGGUAACACUAACUGGAGGACCGAACCGACUAAUGUUGAAAAAUUAGCGGAUGACUUGUGGCUGGGGGUGAAAGGCCAAUCAAACCGGGAGAUAGCUGGUUCUCCCCGAAAGCUAUUUAGGUAGCGCCUCGUGAAUUCAUCUCCGGGGGUAGAGCACUGUUUCGGCAAGGGGGUCAUCCCGACUUACCAACCCGAUGCAAACUGCGAAUACCGGAGAAUGUUAUCACGGGAGACACACGGCGGGUGCUAACGUCCGUCGUGAAGAGGGAAACAACCCAGACCGCCAGCUAAGGUCCCAAAGUCAUGGUUAAGUGGGAAACGAUGUGGGAAGGCCCAGACAGCCAGGAUGUUGGCUUAGAAGCAGCCAUCAUUUAAAGAAAGCGUAAUAGCUCACUGGUCGAGUCGGCCUGCGCGGAAGAUGUAACGGGGCUAAACCAUGCACCGAAGCUGCGGCAGCGACGCUUAUGCGUUGUUGGGUAGGGGAGCGUUCUGUAAGCCUGYGAAGGUGUGCUGUGAGGCAUGCUGGAGGUAUCAGAAGUGCGAAUGCUGACAUAAGUAACGAUAAAGCGGGUGAAAAGCCCGCUCGCCGGAAGACCAAGGGUUCCUGUCCAACGUUAAUCGGGGCAGGGUGAGUCGACCCCUAAGGCGAGGCCGAAAGGCGUAGUCGAUGGGAAACAGGUUAAUAUUCCUGUACUUGGUGUUACUGCGAAGGGGGGACGGAGAAGGCUAUGUUGGCCGGGCGACGGUUGUCCCGGUUUAAGCGUGUAGGCUGGUUUUCCAGGCAAAUCCGGAAAAUCAAGGCUGAGGCGUGAUGACGAGGCACUACGGUGCUGAAGCAACAAAUGCCCUGCUUCCAGGAAAAGCCUCUAAGCAUCAGGUAACAUCAAAUCGUACCCCAAACCGACACAGGUGGUCAGGUAGAGAAUACCAAGGCGCUUGAGAGAACUCGGGUGAAGGAACUAGGCAAAAUGGUGCCGUAACUUCGGGAGAAGGCACGCUGAUAUGUAGGUGAAGUCCCUCGCGGAUGGAGCUGAAAUCAGUCGAAGAUACCAGCUGGCUGCAACUGUUUAUUAAAAACACAGCACUGUGCAAACACGAAAGUGGACGUAUACGGUGUGACGCCUGCCCGGUGCCGGAAGGUUAAUUGAUGGGGUYAGCGCAAGCGAAGCUCUUGAUCGAAGCCCCGGUAAACGGCGGCCGUAACUAUAACGGUCCUAAGGUAGCGAAAUUCCUUGUCGGGUAAGUUCCGACCUGCACGAAUGGCGUAAUGAUGGCCAGGCUGUCUCCACCCGAGACUCAGUGAAAUUGAACUCGCUGUGAAGAUGCAGUGUACCCGCGGCAAGACGGAAAGACCCCGUGAACCUUUACUAUAGCUUGACACUGAACAUUGAGCCUUGAUGUGUAGGAUAGGUGGGAGGCUUWGAAGUGUGGACGCCAGUCUGCAUGGAGCCGACCUUGAAAUACCACCCUUUAAUGUUUGAUGUUCUAACGUUGACCCGURAUCCGGGUUGCGGACAGUGUCUGGUGGGUAGUUUGACUGGGGCGGUCUCCUCCUAAAGAGUAACGGAGGAGCACGAAGGUUGGCUAAUCCUGGUCGGACAUCAGGAGGUUAGUGCAAUGGCAUAAGCCAGCUUGACUGCGAGCGUGACGGCGCGAGCAGGUGCGAAAGCAGGUCAUAGUGAUCCGGUGGUUCUGAAUGGAAGGGCCAUCGCUCAACGGAUAAAAGGUACUCCGGGGAUAACAGGCUGAUACCGCCCAAGAGUUCAUAUCGACGGCGGUGUUUGGCACCUCGAUGUCGGCUCAUCACAUCCUGGGGCUGAAGUAGGUCCCAAGGGUAUGGCUGUUCGCCAUUUAAAGUGGUACGCGAGCUGGGUUUAGAACGUCGUGAGACAGUUCGGUCCCUAUCUGCCGUGGGCGCUGGAGAACUGAGGGGGGCUGCUCCUAGUACGAGAGGACCGGAGUGGACGCAUCACUGGUGUUCGGGUUGUCAUGCCAAUGGCACUGCCCGGUAGCUAAAUGCGGAAGAGAUAAGUGCUGAAAGCAUCUAAGCACGAAACUUGCCCCGAGAUGAGUUCUCCCUGACNGUGGACGCAUCACUGGUGUUCGGGUUGUCAUGCCAAUGGCACUGCCCGGUAGCUAAAUGCGGAAGAGAUAAGUGCUGAAAGCAUCUAAGCACGAAACUUGCCCCG
rnacentral:rRNA from 1 species